AGCAGGGUGGUCUUUCCGGCGUUGUCCAAUCCCAGCAGCACUAUCCUCAGCUCCUGCUCCGUGGAACCCUUCAGCUUUUGAAUGACUGAGAGGCUGCAGCUACAUUCUCCGGUGAAACUCACAGCUGAGUCCGAGUCAAGACCAAGGCCAGACCGAGACUGUUAAAUGGGCUAGGAGGCCGAGUCUGAGUCAAGACCAAGACCAGACCGAGAUUGUUAAAGGGGCGAGGAGGUAGAGUCCGAGUCAAGACCAAGACCAGGACCAGACCGAGACUGUAAAAGGGACUAGGAGGCUGAGUCUGAGUCAAGACCAAGACCGGAUCGAGACUUUAAAAGGGGCUUUAAAAUGAUAAACUGGCGCAAAAGAAAAGACUAUGCGGCAACCCCACCGUUCAUUCUUCCAGAUCAAAUGGUUUCUAUCAACCGACUAGAACCUCCUUCGGCAUUUAAAAAUGAAGGAAACGAGACCACAAAAAGUACUCUCUCCCAGUUUGCAGUAUUACCAACCAUGACCAUUGAGACAACAGAGAUCUCCAAUGCAGUAAAGUCAACAGGAAAACAUCACACGAC